AUUCUCCUGCCUCAGCCUCCCGAGUAGCUGGGACUACAGGAAACCCAAAGGUUUGUGAGAGGAUGGGAUUUGGAGGGAGCCAUUUCCUCAUCAGGAAAGGAGAAAAAGGAGAAGUCUUAACGUAAAGGACUGAAGUUCAGAACCUCAGGACUGUCUGUACACAAGGACAGUCCACAGCAACAUUGUAAAGAAAUUGCUACAGCCAUUCCAACCUUCAGCAGCCGCCAUCUUGAUCAGUCAGCAGCCAUCAACAUCAAGGCAAGAACCUCCUUCAGCAAAAAAGAACCCUGACUAAUACAGAUUUUGGUACCAGGAGUGGGGUCACAAACAGGAGAAGGCUCUGCAACAGGUCCAGGCUGCUGUGAAGCUGCUCUGCCACUUAGGCCAUAUGACCCAGCAAAUCCAGUGGUGCUUGAGGUGUCAGUGGCAGACAGGGAUGCUGUCUGGAGCCUUUGGUAGGCCUCCAUAGGUGAGGCCUAGAGCAGAGGCCUCUAGGAUUUUGGAGCAAGGCCCUGCCAUCUUCUGCAGAUAACUACUCUCCUUUUGAGAGACAGCUCUGGGCCUAUUACUGGUCUUUGGUGGAAACUUGUUUGACUAUGGAUCAUCAAAUCACCAUGUGACCUGAACUACCUAUCAUUAACUGGGUGCUUUCUGACCCAUCUAGCCAUAAAGUGGGUCAUGCACAGCAGCAUUUCAUCAUCAAAUGGAAGUGGUAUAUAUGUGAUUGGGCUCGAGCAGAUCCUGAAGGCAUAAGUAAGUUGCAUGAGGAAGUGGCUCAAAUGUCCAUGGUCUCCACUCCUGCCACCAUGCCUUUUCUCCCCUAGCCUGCACUGAUGACCUCAUGGAGCAUUCCCUAUGAUGGUCAGAGGAAGUGAAGACUAGGGCAUGGUUCACAGAUGGCUCUGCAUGAUAUGCAGACACCACCCGAAAGUGGACAGCUGCAGUACUACAGCUCCUUUCUAGGACAUCCCUGAAGGACAGGGGUGAAGGGAAAUCUUCCCAGUUGGCAGAACUUUGAACAGUGCACCUGGUUGUGCACUUUGCAUGGAAGGAGAAAUGGCCAGAUGUGCGAUUAUAUACUGAUUUGUGGGCUGUAGUCAAUGGUUUGGCUGGAUGGUCAGGGACUUGGAAGAAGCAUGAUUGGAAAAUUGGUGACAGAAAUUUAGGGAAGAGGUAUGUGGAUGGACCUCUUGGAGUGGUCAAAAGUGUGAAGAUAUCCCAUGUGAGUGCUUUGUGAGUGCUCACCAAUGGUGACCUCAGCAGAGGAGGAUUUUAAUAAUCAAGUGGACAGGAUGACCCAUUCUGUGGACACCACUCAGCCUCUUUACCCAGCCAUCCCUGUCAUCACCCAAUGGGCCCAUGAACAAAGUGGCCAUGGUGGCAGGGAUGGAGGUUAUGCUUGGGCUCAGCAACAUGGACUUUCACUCACCAAGGCUGACCUGGCUACAGCCACUGCUGAGUGUCCAAUUUGCCAGAAGAAGAGAUCAACACUGAGCCCUUGAUAUGGCACCAUUGCUCGGGGAGAACAGCCAGCUACCUGGUGGCAGGUUGAUUAUAUUGGACCUCUUCCAUCAUGAAAAGGGUAGAGGUUUGUCCUCACUGGAACAGACACUUACUCUGGAUAUGGGUUUGCCUAUCCUGCAUACAAUGCUUCUGCCAAGACUACUAGCCGUGGACUCACGGACUGCCUUAUCCACCGUCAUGGUAGUCCACACUGCAUUGCCUCUGACCAAGGCACUCACUUUAUGGCUAAAGAAGGGCGGCAGUGGGCUCAUGCUCAUGGAAUUCACCUGUCUUACCAUGUUCCCCAUAAUCCUGAAGCAGCUGGGUUGAUAGAGUGGUGGUAUGGCCUUUUGAAGUCACAAUUAAAAUGCCAACUAGGUGACAAUACUUUGCAGGGCUGGGGCAAAGUUCUCCAGAAGGCCGUGUAUGCUCUGAAUCAGUGUCCAAUAUAUGGUACUCUUUCUCCCGUAGCCAGGAUUCAUGGGUCCAGGAAUCAAGGGGUGGAAGUGGAAGUGGCACCACUCACCAUCACCCAUAGUGAUCCACUAGCAAAAUUUUUCUUCCUGUUCUUGUGACAUUACGUUCUGCUGGCCUAGAGGUCUUAGUUCCAGAGGGAGGAAUGCUGCCAGCAGGAGACACAACAACGAUUCCAUUAAAGUGGAAGUUAAGAUGGCUACCUCGACACUUUGGGCUCCUCCUACCUUUAAGUCAACAGGCUAAGAAGGGAGUUACAGUGUUAGCUGGGGUGAUUGACCUGGACUAUCAAGAUGAAAUCAGUCUACUACUCCACAACAGAGCUGGGUUCCUCCAGUGAUCGAAACAUGGCUACCAACAGUCUCCAGAAACACCUCUUCCAACCCGAGGAGUGAGCGUCUCCUCCCCAGCCACUGGGCAGAGUUCUAGGAUUCCCUCUGAUUGGACCAUGUUGAUCAUGUGCCUUUCCUGGGGCUGGGGACUGUCCUACGUUGAUUGGCUUAGAUCUGGCUUAUGCGCUGGUUCCUGAAAUAAACACCGUGUCAAGAGUAGGAUAUACUUGCAGUUUAAUUUAGCCAAACCUGGACCUAUGCUGGAGCUGAGGAUGGAGCAAAUACCAGCAAAACUGCCUAAAUGUUCCCCAGUGCUGUGGGGGUGGAACGGACGCUGAGAAGCUCACCCUAAUAUCCAAUUCACCAUGGAAAAAAGACAGGAAGGAUAUACAGCAAAGUGCCCACGACAGUUAUUUUCAAGUGGUGAUAUUAUGGGGAAUUUUUAUUUUCUUUUUUACGCUUAUCUGUAUUUUACAUUUUUGACAACAAGCAUAUAUUACUUGAAUAACUUCAAAGAGAAAUGAAAGCUAUAAAUAUGAAGAAAAGCUGGUAUAUAACACUAGCAAGUAAUUAACAGCUUGAGGGAUUUAAAGCAGACGUGUUGGCAAACAGGAAACAUGAAUUUUCAGAAUGGUACCAACGGUGCCUUGCAGAAGCUUCCAACUGCCUUUCUCUUGCCCCUGUUAGGCAAUUCCGUCGUUUCUACAGACUUAAUCUGAGAUCUCUGAAGGCUAGUCUGGCUUAAAACUACCAGUUUCAGCGGCUUGCAAUUUUCUCUUAUAUUUGGGUGGGGAAGAUUUUUCAGUUUUCCCUUAGAGACACUUUCCCUUGUGGGGCAUGAUAGUGUGUUCCUCGUUGCAGAAGGACCCCUGUAUGCAGAAGUAGAGGCGCUGGCCUCAGGCUCCUCCACUUCCUCUUGGACAGAAGACGCUGAGCAUUUUUUCAGGAAGUGGUCACCCCAGUGGUCCCCGGCUUUCUCAGACUUCCUGCAGCUCUCUACACAGUGAAUCACAGUGAGACACUGGCAGCAGGCACCACGGAAGGGACCCUCAAAUCUGAAGGCUCAAGGUCCUGGGAAAAGAUGAAGUGGAGCAUGCCUCUUGUUUCCUCCUAUUAGAUGCUGAGUGUUGGAAGUUCUUCCUAGGAUUCACAAAGAAACUCCUGCUCUUCUUCCACAUACUUUUUCCUGGGAAAGAAAACUUGUUUCACUGGCAGAAAAGAUCCCCACUGUUAAAGUGAGGUAAAGAAGAUUCUUGCUUCCUCUUUACGCGUCCGCCAUGAUUGUAAGUUUCCUGAGGCUUCCCCAGCCAUGCUGAACUGUGAGUCAAUUAAACCUCUUUACUAAUUACCCAAUAUCAGGCAGUUCUUUAUAGCAGUGUGAGAAUGGACUAAUACAGAAAGUUGGUGCCAGGAAAGUAGGGCAUUGCUAUAAAGAUACCGGAAAAUGUGGAAGCAACUUUAGAACUAGGUAACAGGCAGAGAUUGGAACAGUUUGGAGGGCUCAGAAGACAGGAAGAUGAGGGAAAGUUUGGAACUUCCUAGAGACUUGUUGAGUGGUUGUGACCAAAAUGCUGAUAGUGAUAUGGGCAGUGAAAUCCAGGCUGAGUGGUCUCAGAUGGAGAUGAAGAACUUAUUGGGAACUGGAGUAAAGGUCAUUCUUGCUGUCCUUUAGCAAGGAGACUCGUGGCAUUGUGCCCCUGCUCUAAAGAUCUGUGGAACUUUGUACUUGAGAGAGAUGAUUUAGGGCAUCUGGCGCAAGAAAUUUCUAAGCAGCAAAGUGUUUAAGAUGUGACCUGGCUAUUUCUAAAAGUGUACCCUCAUAUUUGUGAAGAAGGACAUGGUCUGAAAUUGGAACUUAUAUUUAAAAGGGAAGCAGAGCAUAAAAGUUUGGAAAAUUUGCAGCCCGACCAUGUGGUAGGAAAAAAAAAAACUCUUUUUCUGUGGAGGAAUUCAAGGCUGCAGAAAUUUGCAUAAGUAAAGAAAUGUUAAUAGCCAAGACAAUGGGAAAAAUGCCUCCAGGACAUUUCUGAGACCUUUGUGGCAGCCCCUUGCAUUGCAGUCCUGGAGGCCUAUGAGGGAAAAAUGGUUUCGUGGGCCAGGCUCAGGGCCAUGCUACUCUGUGCAGCCUCGGGACAUGAUGCCCUGUAUCCCAGCUGCUUCAGCUCCAGCCAUGACUAAAGGGGGCCAAAGUACAGCUUGGGCCAUGGCUUCAGAGGGUGCAAUCCCUAGGUCUUGGUGGCUUCCACGUCGUGUUGGGCCUGCAGGUGUGCCAAAGUCAAGAGGUGAGGUUUGGGAACCUCUGCCUAGGUUUCAGAUGAUGUAUGGAAAUGCCUGGAUGUCCAGACAUAAGUCUGCUGCAGGGGCAGAGCCCUCACAGAGAACCUCUACUAGGGCAGUGCAGAGGGGAAAUGUGGGGUUGGAACCCCCACACAGAGUCCUCACUGGGGCACUGCCUAGUGGAGCUGUGAAAAGAGGGCCACCAUCCUUCAGACCUCAGAAUGGCAGAUCCACCGACACCUUGUACUGUGCACCUACAAGUUGAGUGCCACAGGCACUCAAUGCCACCCUAUGAAAGCAGCUAAGGGGCUGCAGAGCCACAGGGCUAGAAGUUCCUAAGGCCUUGGGAGCCCACCCCUUGCAUCAUUGUGUCCUGGAUGUGAGACAUUAAGUUAAAGGAGAUUAUUUUGGAGCUUUAAGAUUUAAAGACUGCCCUGCUGGGUUUUGGACUUGCAUGGGACCUGUAGCCCCUUUGUUUUGCCCAACUUCUCCCUUUUGGAAUAGAAGCAUUUACCCAAUGCCUGUACCGCCAUUGUAUCUUGGAAGUAACUAACUUGUUUUUGAUUUUACAGGCUCAUAUGUGAAAGGGACUUGCCUUAUCUCAGAUAAAACUUUGGAAUUGGACUUUGAGUUAAUGCUGGAAUUAGUUAAGACUUUGGAGGACUGUUAGGAAGGCAUGAUGGUGUUUUGAAAUGUAAGGAGGACAUGAGAUCUGGGAGGAGCCAGGGGUAGAAUUAUAUGGUUUGGCUCUGUGUCCCCACCCAAAUCUCAUAUGUUGCAUUGCAGUCCCCAAUGUUGGGGGAAGAACCUGGUGGGAGGUGAUUGGAUCAUUGGAGGCAGAUUUCCCCCUUGCUGUUCUCAUGAUAGUGAGUGGAUUCUCAUGAGAUCUGGUUGUUUGAAGGUGUGUGGCACUUCCCCCUUUGCUCUCUCUGUCUUCUGCCAGCAUGUGCAGAAGGUGCUUGCUUCCCCUUCGCCCUUCCACCAUGAGUGUAAGUUUCCUGAGGCCUCCCAGCCAUGCUUCAUGUACAGCCUGUGGAACUGGGAAUCAAUUAAACCUCUUUUCUUCAUAAA